CCUCAUCAUUCCUCACACAAUACCCCAUAAUGACAUCACAAUACCCCAUAAUGACAAAGCGAAAACAGGUUUAGCCAUUUUCACAAAUGUAUUAUAAAUAAAACACAGGUGUACUCAGCCCCUUUCCUAUGAGACUCGAAAUUGAGCUCAGGUGCAUUCUGUUUCCAUUGAUCAUCCUUGAGAUUUCUCCACUACUUGAUUGGAGUCCACCUGUGGUGAAUUCAAUUGAGUGGACAUUAUUUGGAAAGGCACACACCUGUCUAUAUAAAAAGGUCCCACAGUUGAUAGUGAAUGUCAGAGCAAAAACCAAGCCAUGAGGUUGAAGGAAUUGUCCGUUGAGCUCCUAGACAGGGUUGUGUCGAGGCGCAAAUCUGGGGAAGGGUACUAAAAAAUGUCUGCAGCAUUGAAGGUCCCCAAGAACACAGUGGCGUCAAGCCUUCUUAAAUGGAAGUAUAAACCACCAAGACUCUUCCUAGAUCUGGCCCCCCUGGCCAAAUGGGAAAGAAGGGUCUUGGUCAGGGAGGUGACCAAGAACCCAAUGGUCACUCUGACAGAACUCCAGAGUUCCUCUGUGGAGAUGGGAGAACCUUCCAGAAGGACAACGAUCUCUGCAGCCCUCCACCAAUCAGGCCUUUAUGGUAGAGUGGCCAGACGGAAGCCACUUCUCAGUAAAAAGCACAUGACAACCCACUUGGAGUUUGCCAAAAGGCACCUAAAGGACUCUCAGCCCAUUAGAAACAAGAUUCUCUGUUCUGAUGAAACCAAGUUUAACUUUUUGGACUGAAUGCCAAGCGUCACGUAUGGAGGAAACCUGACACCAUCCUUACAGUGAAGCAUGGUGGUGGCAGCGUCAUGCUGUGGGGAUGUUUUUCAGCGGCAGGGACUGAGACUUGUCGGGAUCGAGGGAAAGAUGAACAGAGCAAAGUAGAGAGAGAUCCUUGAUAAAAACCUGCUCUAGGGCAAAGGUUCACCUUCCAACAGGACAAUGACCCUAAGCACACUGCCAAGACAAUGCAGGAGUGGCUUUUGGACACAGCUCAAUGUCCUGUAGUGGCCCAGCCAGAGCCCAGACUUGAACCUGAUCGAAUAUCUCUGGAUAGACCUGGAAAUAGCUGUGCAGCGACAUUCCCCAUCCAACCUGAAGGAGCUUGAGAGGAUCUCAAAUCAAAGUUUGUCAAGUGUGCCGAAUACAACAGGUGUAGACCUUACAGUGAAAUGCUUACUUACAUGCUCUAACCAAUAGUGCAAAAAAGGUAUUAGGUGAACAAUAGGUAAGUAAAGAAAUAAAACAACAGUAAAAAGACAGUGAAAAACAGUAGCGAGGCUAUAUACAGUAGCGAGGCUAUAAAAGUAGCGAGGCUACAUACAGACACAGGUUAGUCAGGCUGAUUGAGGUAGUAUGUACAUGUAGAUAUGGUUAAAGUGACUAUGCAUAUAUGAUGAACAGAGAGUAGCAGUAGCGUAAAGAGGGGUUGGCGGGUGGUGGGACACAAUGCAGAUUGCCUGGUUAGACAAUGGGCGGGAGCACUGGUUGGUCGGGCCAAUUGAGGUAGUAUGUACAUACAGUAUCUCACAAAAGUCAGUACACCCCUCAUAUUUUUGUAAAUAUUUGAGUAUAUAUUUUCA
rnacentral:lncRNA from 1 species